rnacentral:lncRNA from 1 species
AUUAUAUCUAAGGUGAUUAUUAUUUACACCCACUAUAAAGACUGCUCUUGUGAGCCAAGAAGUCUGUUCCUGGGAGGUGAGCGUUACCAAAAAAGGCCUUUCUUGCAGGAGGAUUCAGUGGAGCGAGGAGCCAGGGCGAGGGGCGGCCGCAGCACACCGAGCUCCUUGCCGUUUGUGCUGGGUUUGAGCAGCCCACGGAGCGAGAGGCAGGCGGGAUGUUCUGCGACCCGCGCUCCUGGCGCUCAGGACGCAGCCCCGGCUCUCGCAACCGGAGUUUUUAGCGCAGGGCCGGCCUUUUCCACAGCCCGCUUCUGCUUCUCCCUUGCGGCUCGAGGCGGGGCAGUGCGAGGAGCUGACCGCAGCGAGCGUGUGCCCGCUCGCUCAGGUCAAGCCACCCGGCGCAGCAACCCCGCGGCCGCGGCUGGGGCGCAGUGGCCGGCAGCGAGGGCGUUCCCUUGGCCAGAGGCGCCUCCGCGAUGCCCGCAGCCGUGGCGGCGCUGCGAAAUCCCCCCCUUCGCUCCUCUUCCUCCCCCAGGGCUCGCUCCCAGCCCGGCCUCUCCCCGCUCGCCGCUUCCCCUGCAGCCCUCGGGGGUUUGGCAAUCCCCGGGGGUGCUGCGGGGCCGCCACCGCCGGAGCCCCCCGGGGGGCGCCGCAGCCGGCAGCGGGGGCGCGGCGCAGGCGCUGCGCUGGGGAGGAGGCGGCGGCGGCGGCGCGCACACGGCGUGCACGGAGCGCGCGGCCCCGCGGCAGCUCGGGCGCGCGCCCGUGACGCAAAGGCAGCCCCGUGCCAGGCCAGGCCGGGCCGCCCCGCAGGGCGGCGGCUGCGGCUGUUGGGGGGGGGAGGAGGAAGAGGAGGAGGGGGAGGAAGGCUGCGCCUUUUGUUUUUGGAGCGGGGCUGCCGGAGGGGGGUUAAAGGAGCCAUUUAAAGGAGGAGGAGUGGGGGGGGGGGAAGGGAGGAAGGCGUGUGCGCGCACAGCGCCGGGGAAACCCAGUGUCCCCCCGCCGCCCAGACACACCCCGCCCGGCCGGGGGGGGGACACCAACACCCCCCCUACACACACACACACACACACACAGAGCACGCCGCCGGGGCCGUGCACGUGCUGCCCGGGCGCGGAGAGGCGGGGGCGCGCCCGGCGGGCACGCGCCCCGCGCAACAAGUGGGGCCGGGGGGAAGGGAGCGGGGGGCGGGCGCUCGGCGCUGACGCGGGGGGCCCCGCCCGGGUUCAGCCGAGCCGAGCCGAGCCGGGAGAGCGGCGGGGAGGAGGAGGAGGAGGAGGAGGAGGAGGAGGAGGAGGAAGGGGGGAGGAGGAGGGCGGCGCGGGGGGAGCGCGGCGCGGAGGAGGGGGCGCGCAGGGCAGGCACACGCGGCGGCGCGCAGCAGCAGCACCCCGCGCUCGGACCGCGAGCAGCGGCGAGGAUGUGAGUGCGGAGCAGGCGGCGCCGCCCGGCACGCUGCUGCCGCCGCUGCCCCCCGGCCGCCCCCGCUCCGGGUCGCCGCUCAGGACCAGGAGGAGCCGCCCCAGCCCCGCCGAGCCGCAGCAGAAGCAGCAGCAGCGGCGGCGGCGCUCGGCAGCCGGCAGACCGCGAGCGAGCCGGGCAGCCGCGGCGGGUGGAAGGUGA